GAACCAUCCAAAUGCCUGUUAACCCUUUAUAGGCAGAGCAGUUCCUGGCCUCUGUUUGGCCUUAGGAGCGGGCAGGUGGGGGACUGGAUGGACAGUUUCAUCUCUACCUGGUGAAUCUUCCUGAUGAAGAGGAUGCAAAGCCCAAGGUAGUUUCUCAGUAGAUCACCCACUGCAUUAAGCACUCAAAACAACAUUCCAAACCCACCAUUUUUGUUUAGAUCUCUCAUAGGCAAGACACGUAGUAUUUGGAAGAAAACAGACACAUUUAAGAAAAAGUUUGCCUUUUGUAGCUUAGACUUUGGUCAGAGAAUGGAGAGAUCUUGCCUGGGAAUAUCAGACAGACUUCGUGAAAAAGGCCUUGAGGGAUGGGUGAGAUUUCAGCAUCAGUCCAAAAUGAGAGAACAAGACACGUGAAAGUGGAGAAGAGCGUGUGGGCUGCCUCGGGCUGAGAAAUCAGAGUUCAAGGGGUACAGUGCAGUGAGACAAGGGGCAGGCGGAAGACUGGGGAGGUAUUGUGAAAAGGAAGGG
rnacentral:lncRNA from 1 species